GCGGAUCAUACCAUUCAAAGAAUACAGGUGAUAGAACAGAACGAGGAGUACAAGUUAUGGCUACAAAGCAAGUGCACAAAAAGCAAGAUCAACAAGAGUUUUGGUGUUUGAGAGGUCCAUUCGAAGUCUAAUAACAGAUUCAAAGAGGCUGUCCUUGAACCUAUUGACUCAUCGCUUUACAACAGUCAAAGAAAGAAAGAAAGAAAGAAAGAAAGGUGGAGAGCCUGGAACAUUUUAAGAAGGAAUUCCAGAGUCUGCAAGGGUCUCUUUUAUUGUGACCAUGAAGGUGGCAAGGAAAGUCUGAAGCUGAGCCAG